GAAGGUACAGCUCAGUGGUAGAGUGUGUGCUUAGCAUGCACAAGGUCCUGGGUUCAAUCCCCAGUACCUCCA
rnacentral:tRNA from 1 species